AGAGCUUGCUCUCGGGUGACGAGUGGCGGACGGGUGAGUAAUGUCUGGGAAACUGCCUGAUGGAGGGGGAUAACUACUGGAAACGGUAGCUAAUACCGCAUAACGUCGCAAGACCAAAGAGGGGGACCUUCGGGCCUCUUGCCAUCAGAUGUGCCCAGAUGGGAUUAGCUAGUAGGUGGGGUAACGGCUCACCUAGGCGACGAUCCCUAGCUGGUCUGAGAGGAUGACCAGCCACACUGGAACUGAGACACGGUCCAGACUCCUACGGGAGGCAGCAGUGGGGAAUAUUGCACAAUGGGCGCAAGCCUGAUGCAGCCAUGCCGCGUGUAUGAAGAAGGCCUUCGGGUUGUAAAGUACUUUCAGCGGGGAGGAAGGCGAUACGGUUAAUAACCGUGUUGAUUGACGUUACCCGCAGAAGAAGCACCGGCUAACUCCGUGCCAGCAGCCGCGGUAAUACGGAGGGUGCAAGCGUUAAUCGGAAUUACUG
rnacentral:rRNA from 1 species